UACGGGGGGGGCAAGCGUUGUUCGGAAUUACUGGGCGUAAAGGGUUCGUAGGUGGCUUGCUAAGUCAGACGUGAAAUCCCUCAGCUUAACUGGGGAACUGCGUCUGAGACUGGUGAGCUUGAGUGCAGGAGAGGAACGCGGAAUUCCAGGUGUAGCGGUGAAAUGCGUAGAUAUCUGGAGGAACACCGGUGGCGAAGGCGGCGUUCUGGACUGCUACUGACACUGAGGAACGAAAGCCAGGGGAGCAAACGGG
rnacentral:rRNA from 1 species